GAUGAAGAACGUAGCAAAAUGCGAUAAGUAAUGUGAAUUGCAGAAUUCAGUGAAUCAUCGAAUCUUUGAACGCACAUUGCGCCCGCCAGUAUUCUGGCGGGCAUGCCUGUUCGAGCGUCAUUUCAACCCUCAAGCACAGCUUGGUGUUGGGACUCGCGUUAAUUCGCGUUCCUCAAAUUGAUUGGCGGUCACGUCGAGCUUCCAUAGCGUAGUAGUAAAACCCUCGUUACUGGUAAUCGUCGCGGCCACGCCGUUAAACCCCAACUUCUGAAUGUUGACCUCGGAUCAGGUAGGAAUACUCGCUGAACUUAAGCAUAUCAAUAAGCGGAGGA
rnacentral:misc_RNA from 1 species